rnacentral:lncRNA from 1 species
AUUCUACCCAUCUCCUUACUCAGGACGCCAUCGCGGGUUUCCCAGGGCCAACCAUUCCCGCCGCGCCACCCUAAGACGCGCCCGGCGCCCAAACACUGAGGAAGCGGGUGGGGUCCCCUGCGGCCCCUGCAGCGGGAGGGGCGCCCGGACGUCACAGCAGGGCCGCCCGCCCGCCUCGCGGCCUCCCGCCUCCCGCCCCGCGGACCCCGCGCGUCCCCCGCGCUCCUUCCGUGGCCCAGGUCCCAGGCGAGCUCCGCCCCUCAGACCAGCGCGCUCGAGGUCGCCCCGCCACAGCCCGUCCUCUACCCGCCUCUGCUGGAAAACAGGCCGCAGAAUAUAGGUGUUCUCGGGCUCCCCUGCGUUCUUCUCAGCCUCAGGCACCCCGUCGCCCACCGAGAAGGACACUCCGAUGGACGUGGCCAUGCCGGGGCUUCUCGGUCCGGGCGUAGCUCGCGAUGAAGGCCUAGCGGGUUGCGGUCGCGGCCGGCAGCAGGGAAAGCGUCUCCAGGGCAACAGGGCCGCCCUCCCGCCUCGCUGAAGCCCGCGAGCGCCCCGCACAGCCGCCCUCCCUGCCCGCGCCUGCGCACCGGCUGCUGGGCGGGAACUGGUCGCGUCCGGACGCGCGACAGCUUCCACCCGCCUCAGGCAGUAUCAGCCGCGCCGCAGUCGGAGGAAAUAGACGCGGGGCCUGAGGCUCCUGGACUUGAGCAAGCCUGUUACCCUCUGUGAGCCUCAACUUCUCUAUGUGUAACAAAUGGCCAACUUUAUGGGAUUGUCAAGAAGCUGAAAUGAGACCCUGGCUGGAGGAUAUUUUAUGGACUAUAAAUUCCUAAACAAUUAUAAUAACUUAGUUAUUUAUCCUAUCCAUGGAUCACCUGGAAGUUUACAAUGUGAUUUAAAAUGCAUUCUAUCAUUCCACCGACCUGCAGUGAAUUUUGUUGUCAUUAUUACUCCAGGGAUACCUAAAGGGGAAGUUUGUUUAUAAUUCGUACCCACUCCUUGUAGAAAGGAUUCAAGACAGCCGAUGAUGAAAACACCCAUGCUUGCAAGUGAAGGUUCUGCCUGUCACUUCUCGCAGAGGCUGCAGAAAAGGCCCAGGAGGCUGUUGAUGACAUGAACGACCACCAGGAGAAGCUGGAGCAGGCUGAUGCACAGAAGGGCGGAGAAGAGGGACACGUGCCAGACAACAGCUGCAGAGGGCUCCAGGCAGACGGAGUUCCAGAGCGAACGGUCAUACAGAUAAUUCCUAUCCCAAAAAAUAAGGAGACCAGGGGUCAGGCGAUAAGUAAGGAAAGCCAAACAGGCAACCCCAGUAGAAAACUGGGGUCUCCCCUGACCGGGUCAUGGGACUGGGCUCAUGAGGGUGACCGUUACUGCUCCAUUUGCAAUUUUCUGAGUAUCAGAGGAGCAAGAUGCUAGGAUGUGUGACCCAAAGGAGCUUGUAGUUCGUCUGUGUGUCUUUUUGUCUCUCUCUCUCUCUCUGUCUGAAAAGACCAAGCCCAAGCCUCCACCCAUUUACCUACUAUGCAGGUCUUUGAAUGGGUAACCAUAUUUCCAAGCUUGUGUCUGAUUGAAGGAUGAAACAUCAAACAUGCAAAAAGGACCAUCUUUCAGAGCAACUCCAGAAGUGACAAAGCAAAUCAGGGCUCCAAGUAAAGCCAGGCCACCUGACAACAGAGCAGUAAGCACCUGCGGAGGGAGGAGAAACACUGAGCUAAGACGGGGUCGCAGCUGGGGAGCCUGCGGAGGGAGGAGAAACGCUGAGCUAAGACGGGGUCGCAGCUGGGGAGUCUGUGGGGCGGUCUGCACAGGUCUGACUUCUCUGGUCUCAGUGUUCUUCCGUCCUGUCAUGGGGGAGAAUUCUGUCCAUGGCACCCCCUUUGAAGCAUAACCCAUGGUGGGGAGGCCGUGAGGGGUUUCUAGGAGAGAAAGGACCAAGAAGCAGAAUCGCAGGCCCCGGAUCUCCCUGACCGUGAGUUCGCCUGAGCUGCUCAGCAGCUUGGCAUCACAAACCUUUUGCACAUUACAGCCAUUCAGCCUCUGAGCUAAAGAAGAAGCUACCACAGGCCCACCACUGACUCUUCUAAGGAAAAGCUGCAUUUUCAAAAGUUCCAGGUUCCCAACUCUGAUUCUUCUCUAUUUCAAAUCAAGGAUAAAAAAAAGGAAGGGAGGGAAGGAAGGAAAGAAAGAAGCAGGAAAGAAGGGAAGGAGAGAAGUGGGAGGGAGGGAAAGAAGGGAGAGAAACAGCGAGAGAGAAGCUGCAGCCAAGCUCUGAAAUGACUCCACUUCUGUCGCUGUGUUUCUCCAGCUGAGAGCUUUCUUGGCCAUCAGUCUGUGCUCCCACUGCCCUCCCAGAAAAUAACUGGGUUUCCUUCCUUGACAGGUUUCUAGCCUGCUUCUACAUUGGCUUCUUUCUCGUUCCUUCCUUCCUUCCCUUCCUUCCUUCUUUCUCUCUCUCUCUUUCUUUUUGAGACAGAGUCUCACUCUGUCGCCCAGGCUGGAGUGCAGUGGCACGAUCUCAGCUCACUGCAACCUCUGCCUCUGAGUUCAAGCGAUUCUCCUGCCUCAGCCUCCCAAGUAGCUGGGACUACAAGCAUGCGCCACCACACCCAGCUAAUUUUUGUAUUUUUAGUAGAAAUGGGGUUUCACUGUGUUGGUCAUGCCGGUCUCAAUCUCCUGACCUUGUGAUCCACCUGCUUCAGCCUCCCAAAGUGCUGGGAUUACAGGCAUGAGCCACCGUGCCCGGCCCAUAUUGGAUUCUUUCUUAGGGUUCUAGAUUUUUUUCUCCCUCCCCCAAAAAUGCCUAUUUUAAAAAUGUGAAUAACACCUACAUAGCGUUUUUCUGCAGAGUCAUGGAGUCAUUCUCCCACUGAGGUCAAGCUGGUUUGGAGUUGGGGAGGGAUCAGACAAAGGUGCAUAGUAAGUUUUGACUCUGAGUUAAAGGAGUCAAGAUGAAUCAGUAAGCCUAGGGCAGUGGUUCCCAAAAUGGGGUCCCUGCCCAGCCGCAUCACAUCACCUGAGAACCUGUUAGAAAUGCAAAACUUCCCCGCCAUCCUGAAUCAGAAACUCUGGGGAGGGAGCCCAGCAAUCCGUGUUCCGGCAAAAGCCCUCCAGGUGAUUCUCAUGCACAUUCAAGUGUCAGAACUACGUGCCACGGGGAAAACCAGAAUGAGAACAGACAGUGAAUGAAAUGUGCAAGUGUUUAUUUAUUUAUCUAUGUACUUAUUUAUUUAUUUAUUUUGAAACGGAGUCUCGCUCUGUCGCCCAGGCUGGAGUGCAGUGGCGCCAUCUCGGCUCACUGCAAGCUCCGCCUCCCGGGUUCAAGAGAUUUUCCUGCCUCAGCCUCCUGAGUUGCUGGGAUUACAGGCGCCCACCACCACGCCCAGCUAAUUUUUGUAUUUUUGGUAGAGACGGGGUUUCACCAUGUUGGCCAGGCUGGUCUCAAACUCCUGACCUCAGGUGAUCCGCCCAUCUUGGCCUCCCAAAGUGCUGGGAUUACAGGCGUGAGCCACCGCGCCUGGCCUAUAUUUGAUUUUUUAACAUGUAACUGAGUCAGUGGGCUUCCCAACAUGUGGGCUGCAGAUAUCAGAGCAGGCUGUGGAGUUACCAUAAGGCCACAGAUUCAUGUCUGAGAACGAGUGUGUGUGUGUGUGUGUGUGUGUGUUUGUUACACACACAUAUACUGAGAUCUUUCAAGUUUAUACAGUUGCUGCUGUAAUUAAUAAGGUAGAAAUUUAUUCUGGGCCUCAGUUUAUCUGUAAAAUGGAGGGGUUAGAUUAGAAUCUAGUGAUUAGAUGAUCUCUGGAAAACUUUCCUGUUCUAAGAAAAUAUUAGUUAAAAUAACUAGGAAAAUUUCCAUCAAUGACACAUGAUUACAGUGUCAUAACUCAUGUCCAUAUUGUCCAACACCCUAAGAGAGUAACAGUUUCUCACACUGGUACAGACGUCUGGGUCCUCACACUGGUACAGACGUCUGGGCUUCACUAAGCACUACUCCCUUGACUUGAUCAGCUCCCAUUUUACAGAUGAAAGCCUGAAACUGGAAAGAUGAAGCAACUUGCCCAAGAACUUAGCGUUACUGAGGGUCACAGUGAGGACCUGACUUCAGGCCCCAAGACCAAAAUUGCCUCUUUACCGCCCUGCCUCUAGAGUAAUAGAGGUGGAGACAUUCUGGGUGUUAGAAGAGUGGAAUCUGGUGCUUACGCUUCGACAGAGCCCACUCUUACUGAAGCAGCCGUAUCUCCAGCCCAUCAAGGAGAUGAGGAUAGCUGCAGUGAGUACCUGCAGGAGAGAGAAGAAUGUUGAGAUGGGGAAAUCGACUUUGCCGGCUGUUUCUAGGUGCUGCCCACAGCUGUUAGAGUGGCUGGCAGCUCACAUGAACGCAGUCCUGUUGACUCUGACUCUGGGGACCCACAUUUGUAUGACGAGCCUGAUCUAACGCUGUGGAUGUUAACUUUCACACCCGACCUGCCUGGUCCCAAGCUAGGCUUCCUGUCUCUUAGAGCUUCUACAGACCCAAGAUCAGCUUGUUAGAAUAAACUUUUCUGCAAG